rnacentral:ncRNA from 1 species
AAUAUUUUACCGCCGGGUAAAGCUGAGAAGCGUUGGAUAUCAUAUCAUUAGGCCUUAGAAGAUAUGAUUAUCUGCCGCUUUUAUUUU